UGAAACCUUCACACUCCUUAACCCUUUGCACAGGUCCAGCACACAGGUAUGAACAAUAAUGUAUUUCCCAUUUGGCUGCUGAGGAAAUUGGCUUUGAAAGCCAAGGGGCCACAGAGCUGCUAAGGGGCAUAGCAGGGACUUGCUCUCUACUCUGUCUGACACUGUUAGCCAUUACCCAUCUUUGGUAAUCUCACGCAAGAUUGUGUUCUGUGUCCCGGUAUGAGGAAUGCACACCUGCUUCCCCUCCUGCUCCGAGGACUCACAGGUGCCUGCUUACCUUAAAGCAUACAGGACUGUACCAUUGGAGAAGAGGCGGAUGAGCCUGUUUCCCACGGUGACUUCAUGGAGGAAGGACUUCUUGGACUCCACGAUGUAAGUGUCUGGCACCCAGAGAAACUCCACAAGGCGGGCGUCCAAUGUGAAGCUCUUGUUGCCUUCAAAAACCAACCGCUGGUCCAUCCAGCGCUGUCGGAGAAAUACUCGCAAUGUCCAGAGUCAGUGCUAUCUGGACUGGUUCUCCUAAACAUGAAGAAAAAAGAAAAAACAAAGAUUUACAUGGAUACGCAAACUGAAGAGUUCCUAAUAAUGCCUUAGUGCAUUAAUGAAACUGCUAAAAAUGACAAAAGUAAGAAAAGUACUGAAAAGGACAAAGCCAACACUUGCCUGUUGGAAAAAUGAGAGCUGUCUAGACACAUAAGAGAUGAAUUUGCACCUUCCUCAAUUCAGCUUAACUCUUGCAUAUGGUGCACUCUCCUCUCAUAUGCGCAACAUGCCUGCCUAUCCAGCUGCCUCAGUACCAGACAGACCACACUCCACUAAGUAGUGCAUAGUUUAAAGAACAUAGUACUGUCAGAGCCACUAUGGCUUACACAGAGGAUGUGACACUUGCCUCAUCAGUUAGAAAUGUAACAGAAGUUUGUGCAUCUGUUUGGGCACAGAAGCUG